GAAAGGAAUGUCAUUCUGUGGUCAUUUGCAGCGGGUUGUGCUGACUCCCUCAGCGGCUUUAAGGGAAGAGACUCACCAGGAGGGGGUCGUGCCUGGGGAACCGCCCCCGCUGCCAGGACAACAGAGCCACUGGCUGGGGUAGGAGGCCCCCCCACCCCCACCACCCCCCCCACCCCCGUCACCGCACCUCCUGCGAGGACACACUUCUGAUUUCCAUCUCUUGCUGCUGCUGCUGCUGCCGCCUCACACGCCUUGGAACUUUCAGAGCUCCUCGCACACUCCCGGACUGAAUCAGCCCGUCUGCCUCCAGCCAGGAAGAAGUAUCAGCUGUCCGAGCAAGAUUCACUUUGUAAUUGCCCCAGUGCGCCCCACGGGGGCUGUGUCAGGUCUGCAUGACUAAGAUUGCUGCUGGCGAGACUGAGACCCUUUCUGUGAGGUUGUCUUAUCUGCCUUUGCUCUGUGUGCUGGCAGUGAGCCCUUUGCUACAAGAGAGUUUUGUUUGACUUCUGAGAUCCAAGGCUAAUUGCUGUUAAAAUUUUAAGUGGCAUUUUAAAAAAAUCUGUCUGCAUGUGGGGUGCAUUGUUCCAUCUCCACAAGUUAUUUGAUUUUUAAAAUAUUGUUUGACUUCAUUGCUGUGUAUGAAUAUUUCUCUACAUGCUUCAGAUACACAUUCCCACAGUCUUUCGCUUCCUAAGGGGGAAAAAACCCCACCACACACAGAAAAGACACACAUGCCCACCUUGUGUAGGGGGAGGGGUUUAAGGUUUCGGGUCCGACACUGAUGAGGAAGCGGGACUGCAGGUGGCUCGCGAGGCCCAGCGAGGUGGGGUGAGGUCGGUCCUGCUGUCCUGUGUCAGCGUCAAGGUCCAGAGGGCUCAGGGCUGGGAUCCAAGUUCUGUUGUGCAAGAAAAAGGAAAGGAGACACUAAGUACCACCCGUUUAGCAAUAAAGGAAGAUCGUUCUGUACUAGGAAUUGUGCUGUGGAUGAGUCAUUCAUGAGAACGUAACCAGUGUUUGUCUUGUGACCUUGUGCUUUUGAAGUCAGACGAAACCGUGUGAUCACCUUGCACACAGGAGGGUACACAGUGAUCACUGAGACUCAGACCAACCCGACAGGGCGGCUUCCUCAUGGUGCUUGUUUAUUAUAUCUAUUUAAUCCUGCUUGACACUUUACCCAAGGGAAACGGUCCCUUUUACCAGUUGGAUGCUAGCAGCGUUAUUUCAUAGUGUGGUGACUGGUUAGAGAAAUUCAUGUACUCAACCAAUCACGGUUUCAAACAAAAUUUUUAUGUGCAAAGGAUGGCAACCUUCUCGUAUGUUUAAACCACCAGUAAGCUUUGUACAUCUGUGAUAACGCCUGUUUUAUAUUCAAAUGAACAAAUAAAAGCUUUUAUUUUUGUUGCUCUGAAAAUAGCAGUUUCUUAAUUGGUCCCCUGGAAAACUGGGCCAGCUUCCAUCCUAGGAAGGAAGUGACUCCUACCAGGAAUGUAUCUGACUCUGUUUACAUAAUUUGUUGCAUUACUUAUCAGUAUAGAUAAUCAUACUUUGAACAAUGUUUAAAUUUUGAUGUGGGCAUUUAUUGCUAAAAAUAUUCCUAUGGCAACAAAUGUUUUGUGAAAUGUUUUUUUUAAUUCUUUUAAAUAUAUCUAAAUAUAUUUGUUCAUAUUUUGCUCCAAGUGUACAGAUUAUUGGUAACUUUUAGGAACAAGGAGUGUGCGUCUGUGUGCACAUACUCUCUGCUGCUCCUCGGCAGGAAGCUUUGCCAGGACAUAGGUCUCGCUGACGAUUCCAACCCAGAUUAUCUUUGUUUUGAUCUUGGCUUCAUCUCUUGGAAAGAGCGGGAUACUCCAAUAAAGAUGUUU
rnacentral:lncRNA from 1 species